rnacentral:Y_RNA from 1 species
GGCUGGUCUGAAGGUAGUUAUCUCACUUGAUUGUUCACAGUUAGAUUGAACUCCUUGUUCUACUACUUUCCCCCCUCCUCACUACUGCACUUGACUAGUCUUAA